UAUGCCCUACGGGGGGCAGCAGUAGGGAAUCUUCCACAAUGGACGAAAGUCUGAUGGAGCAACGCCGCGUGAGUGAAGAAGGGUUUCGGCUCGUAAAGCUCUGUUGGUAGUGAAGAAAGAUAGAGGUAGUAACUGGCCUUUAUUUGACGGUAAUUACUUAGAAAGUCACGGCUAACUACGUGCCAGCAGCCGCGGUAAUACGUAGGGGGCAAGCGUUGUCCGGAUUUAUUGGGCGGAGAGGGAG
rnacentral:rRNA from 1 species